rnacentral:lncRNA from 1 species
AACCUGUUUCUGGCCAUGCUGUGAAUCUGCAUUCUUUACUGUGUCCUUGGGAUACUAGGAGGAACCAGAGGAGCAGAUCCUGCUAGGAGGCUAAGCAUGAAGAAGGAAUUCAAAGAAACCUUGUGGAGAACGAAGACACAGCAGGGAGUCUCUGAUCAAGUGCCACAUCUUUAGAGAAGCUUUUCCAAACAACCGCCUUCAAGCUCCAGAUAAUCCUCAGUGAGGUAUACUGUCCGCUCAAUAUCCAAGAGUCACCCUUCUACAAGGGACCUCUAGACUGCCCAUAAGUGAGACAUGACAGAGGUAAAGUAAUGCUCCUGUCUCCCUUGGACCUCGCUGGAAACUGCAUUCAUCAACCCAUGGAACCACCCCCCUGCCAUGAAAGCUAGCAAGAGGCCAAGACCCACAGAACAACCACCAUCACUCCUCUGUCAGCAGGAAGCGGUUACAAAAGACUAACCUUUGCCCAUUUUCCCCAAAGAAUUGGG